rnacentral:misc_RNA from 1 species
AAAUCACAAAUAUUGUCAACCUUGGCAGUGAGUUGUUUACAUAUAUCCUUAUCUACUUCAUCUCCUCUGAUAAAUAUCUGAUUCUUCACACCAUCAGCUUGCCCAGAAAGUGGCGGNCAGAUUUCUGCCUAAAAGGUUCCUUUCAAAAGCACGAAUUCUCUGUGUACAUCCAUUUCUAUACAGCUCAGGCUCUUUGCUUCUCAUCACUAUAGAGGCAAAAUCGGGAUUGCAAAGAAAGCAAUUGUUUCUAUGACAAUCAUUUUCACUGUAACACUUAUUGCCAUCACAUGUCCCAUUCAAAGUUGAAUUCUNNNNCACUUAUAACUGGAUCACACUGUAAGACAGGUAUAGCAGAUAUAGCUGAGCCAGAAGUACUAAGCCUAUUAUCCUCAAACGCAGUUACCUGAGUACUGNUUUGUUUACCCAAAGGCUGCAUCUGUCUGUUUGUCACCUUUUCCAAUUCAUCCUGUAGUUCUCUCAACUCUGCUCUAAGGUCUUUUACUAUAUCCUCAGCUUCCCCAAGUUGUGCUUCCAGCUCUUCAAUCCUUCUCUGUUGACUCAAGGAUGCCAUUUCUGCUUCACUAACCUUAGAAUCCAGCAU